AUGUAGUGUGACAUGCCCGUUUGGGUUAUUACUCUGAUGCAAUAUUUAUUGAUUUUGGGAACGGGGUGUUUCAUUUACA
rnacentral:pre_miRNA from 1 species